GUGAAUUUAGGGUUUAUUUGCCACAAAGUUGUUGAAGAUGGCAAAACAAGCACCGAUGAGAAGUUUUUCGGGUGAGUUCGUUUCAUGUCGUCUGCGUGUAUUUGUGCGUGUGUGAGAGGAAGAGAGAGAUAGAGAAAAAAAAAUAGUAUAAUAUAUUGAUUCGGUGCUGUUAAACGUUCGCGUCGUGGUCGGUUCUCCCCGCUAAGUAAUUUCGUCGUUAUCGUUUCGUACCACCGGUUUGUCGUUAUCUUCCAAUAUGAUUAGAUCUGAUCGCAAAGUUGUUUAUUUUUGUUCGGCUUCGAUUCGGGCGCAUUUGUUUCUGUUUUUGUUAUCCAGUCAGCCUUAUUGUAAUCAUCGGUUUUAUCUCUUUUCCGCGCGCGGUUGAUUCGACUUGGCAUUGCUUUUUGAAUAUUUUUCUCAUUCUUCUCAAUGACUUACUAUGUUUUUGCCGCGAAAUAAAUAAAAAUCGGUCGAUAAUUAAAAAUGUUUCUCUUGUGAUUAAUGAGAUCAUCUAGAUUGGGUGUGUGUCGCAGUCGUCACGCAGGAUUUUCGUUGCCGUUUCCGUCUUUGUUGUCCCGAGUCGCGAAUGAUUUGUCGGGCCGAAACGAUGUUCGGUUUCGUUUUCGUCCAAAGUUUGUUUUGCCACGUUUACCGUCGAGUUUGCCACGCAAUUUGCAUAUUUUUAUUUUUAUAUUUUUUCAUUCAAUAUUUAAUAUGUUUUCGCAAAUCAAAAGUCCUUCCCAUAGCACCAAUGCUCGGAAGGCACGCGAUCGAUUAAAAAACUUUCUAAAUAAUUAAUAUUGUAUCUUUCCGCAGCCGGCUGCCUAAGAUUUUAAAAAUUCAACCAAUAAACAAAUUGCUUAUGGUCGCAUCACCUACCACAGUGAAUCCUGACCUCAUACCCAUCUUACUAACCCCUCAAAACUCAUGUGAUACUUUGUCGGAGACGCAGUCGAUUUGGCGGUCCCAUCACUCAAGUAUCGGACUAACAUUCCCAUCCACUUCCCCGUGUCUUACCACUGGUCGUGGCCGGCGUCGGUAUUGAUCAGCAAGAUAGGGACCUUUGAAAAUUGCGAAGGGGUGAUGAUUGGUUCCUACUUUUCAUCUGUGGUCCACGGAGCAAUGAUUGGGGGUCCUGGUCAAUAACGAAGUAGCAGCUACGGGUAGACACCAAUGCUAUGCUAUGCUAUGGUUCCUUGCAAGUGUCCUAUUUUCUUACCUCCACGUUGGCUUGGUUUUCAUGAUGACCUAGCUGGUGGCCUGUGGAAACGGAUCGUUAACCUUUGACCACCGCGGGUCAGAGUCGAGACGGCAAAAAGAAAGGGGCGCGACAAUGUGGGAAAGGGAAAUAAUUUGUGAUUGUAGACGGUAUUGUUUUGAUUCGCAGUAUGUUGAGUCAACUGCUGUGGAUGUACCUGAAACAUCGCACAACGGGGUUUCUCUUCUCUUCAUUCUCAGCUACCACCUAUCUCCUAUUUUUAUUUUUGCUCUAUUGAUUCCCACUUUUUCACUGAUUCUUCUAUUUAAUAUCAUUUGAUUUUGAAAUAAUUAGAUGAAAAAAAAAGAAAAAAGAAAAGAAAAAAAAAGAAAAAGAAAAAAAAGAAGAAAAAGAAAAAAAAGAAAAAGAAAAAAAAGAAAAAAAAAAGAAAAAGAAAAGAAAAAAAGAAAAAGAAAAAAAAGAAAGAAGAAAAAAGAAGAAAAAGAAAAAAAAAAGAAAAAAGAAAAAAAAAAGAAAAAAAGAAAAAAAGAAAAAAAAAAUAUCAUUUGAUUUUGAUUUUACUAACUUUUGAUUCUCUUAUCUCUCAAAGCAUUUCCACUCUUUUUUACCAAUUGAGACUGCUGUAACAAACUUUUGCCCUAGUCACUCGGCCACCGAGGGGUGACACCCCUUGAGUGAAUUAAUCCGUAGUGGUGAAAUAAUGUCACAUGGUCAUUUACUAUAUAAUACAACAAUCCCUCUCCCGACGGUUCCCCUACACACACCACACACCGUAUUCUAUAAAAAUAACUCGAAGUGGUUGGUACGGUAUGUCCCCACUUCUUCUUCUUCCCCUGAUGAUUCCAUGAAAUGUGGGUUCCGUUCAUAGAAUCUGUCACUUGCGGUUAAUACAACGCAGUAGGCCGGGCCGCUUUAGUGAGUGUAAUACAUUUCGGGGGUUCUCGAAAGUACUGCAAUCAUUAAUAAUGACAAGAAAGAACUUUAGGCGUAAUCUAACCAUAAGUUCUUCCCGGAUGCUUUCUUCGGACUGGCUGCGCUUGUGUUCGAUUAGAUUAGAUUAGAUUAGAAUUGAGACUGCUGUAACAAACUUUGUUUUUUUUUCUUAAACAUAUACUUUUCCUUAAUGUACUAGUAAUAUCAAGUCUAUUUAUCAUUUGCCUAAUCUUUUUUGAUUUUAUUGCGAAUUUAUUUAUUUGAAUAAUUCUUUAUCUGUCAUAUAAAUUAUCAUUACUUUAAUCUAAGCUUGUUUUGUAUCUCUAUUUAUUAACUAAUGUCUAAUUUUACAUCUAAUACAUCUAGCUUCUCAUUUUUAUUCUUUAAAAUUCGCUCAUCAUUCUCUUACUAUUGAUUCUUGAUUUUUAUAAAAUAAAUUCUCUUUUACUGUCUAUUGUUUUCAAUCUUCACCCUUUUUUCAAACUAGUGAGGUUUGAGCCCUUACUCAAUUUAUGGAAUGGUUAAAGGAUUAACACAAAUAUUACUAUUGUACUUUUGGUAAACUUUUAUAAAAUGCUUAGGACCAAAAAUUGUAACAAAUCACCGCGACAAAAGAAAUAGCAACAAAUAAACACGACUCAACACUAGGAAAGAUUUCAGGAGAAAACAAUACACAGUAAAUAACAAUUAGUUUUUGAAUUGAAACUAAAAAUAAAACAGUUUUUUGCUUUAAUGAAAAUUGAUAGGCACACUAUAAAUGGUUAGGCGCUUAUACUUACAUCAAACCCUACGUAAUGUACCACCCCCGGCCGAGUUAAAAUGCGUAACCGAAAAAAAAGGUGUGCAUGCCUGGCACGAACACUCAAAGCGUGUUCUAGCGUGCUGCUCGUACUGACUCAGAGCAAGGGUGAGAUGUAGGUGUAAGGGCAGUGCGUGUUCGUCGGGAACCUGGUGCAUAAGAUCGGUCAAGGCCCGUUCUUACACUGAAAAUUGCGAAUUGCGAAUUGCUAUAACUUGUCCCUUACCUCACAAACUUUAACGACUCUAUUCUUCAAUCUUGGAAUCGCAAUACAUUAUUGUAGAAAUGUAACUGCUGAAAAAAAUGGUAAGAAAUUUGGGCAUAACUGUUAUUCAUACGAUUAAGGUUCCACCUAAAUCGAAUUUUCCGCCCUGAUUUUUUUUUACCAAAAUUGAUAUAUCUUUAACCAGGUUACAUUUAGAACCUCCAUAUUACCUCAUUUUGUUGAAAAAUGAUUCACGAAGCUAAUGAAACCAAAAUUGAUGAGAUUGAUCAAAUAGUUUUUUCAAAAAAUAAGCAGAACUCAAGAUUUUUGAACGAAAAACUGCUGUUUGUAUGGAAACCAAAAAACUUUUUUAGAUGCGUCGAUACACUAAAAACACUGUAUAAACCAUGCUCAGAACAUAUUGAGUCACUUGGGGACAUUUCAAGGAAUCGAUUGGUAACCGGAUUUCCCCGGAAGUUCCUCCCAAAGCGGCCAAAAGUAAGAAGGAAGUUGAAAGUCUGAUUCCGGACAUUCCCUGUCGUACCGGCAUCCUUGCCUGGUCAGGCGUUUGUUGCAUGCACAGUAGAAAAAAGCUGAAUAAAGAUGGUAAAAAAAAAACAGAAAACAAUAAAAUACUUCAACUUUAUCACCAACAACUUUUUGCAAAAAUGCUCUCAAGCAGCCAUGCCAGAUAUACAGAUAAAUCUGUACUAUACAGAUUUUUCGAUCCCAAAAAUCACAAAAAUCUGUAUAUUAGCAUUAGCAUUAGCAUUUGGAGGACGCCCCACCACCGGAAGGCUCCACAACGCUUAUCCCACUGUUUGGUCUGGUUGUGUUAGACCCUCAUCCGGAACAAUAAUCCAACACGGGAGAUACCAUGUCUUCAUCUUUUGAUGAGUGUGUAAUACAGCCCAGGGCAUAAGGGGGUCCACACCGGGUCCAAGCUAUCCUCGGGGAAAUGAAGGAAUGUUAGUAAACACCUAUCUAAAGUGCGCAGGGACCCCUACGUCACCUUAGUGGUAUAGAUGUUUGUAGGGUGGUUUUGGACUCAAUGUUAGUAGGAGAGGUAGAACCCUAGGAUAUACCCCGAAAGGUAUUGCGGGCGAAUCAAGUAGAGUUAGUUUUUUUUAUUAUUAAACUUAUACUUGUGAUUGUAUAGUGUUAAAGAUGCAUGAUUUAUAUUUUUUAUAUUUUAAACAACGGCAGAAACAACGCGACGAAGCCGUGCAUGAUUAAAUUGACUGUCGUAUUACUAAACCAACCAUUAUCUCAGGUAAAAGCAAUGCUGAUUAAUCACAGUUUUAACAUGUCUGUUGUUAAACUCAUUCUAUCAACUGUAAGAGUAGAGAGAAGUUUAUAUUUUCCUUUAAAUUAUUAUAUGUUUAAGCGAAAUUCGAGGUUGUAAAUGAUUUAACGCAUAAUUGAUAUUUUGAUUUUAAACUCUUACAGCGAUAAGGAGUAAACAUUCAUUAUUCACUCAUUUGUUUUAUUUUGAAUAUAGGAUUUAGAUGUUUCAUUAAAACGACCGAUUCAAAAAGCAUACUUAGUUAACAUUUAUCUUUAGUGUAAUGGGAUUAAUCAGCAUAUUUAAAUUAUUUUCUUCAAAUAAAUACAAUUAAUUAAAUUAUUAUUAGCUGAAAAAUAUACAGACAAAACACAAUCCCUCACUCACUCACACACACAUUGAUGCUUCCUCGAUUUGAAGAUCAGCAACUUUCAGUUUUUAUGCUAAUGCUACAACGGGUUUGAAAAUUGCGAAAAGCCUU